AGUAGUCGAUCACAGAAAAUAUUUCGUACGGCGUCUCGGAAUGUUUCCAGCAGCUACAGUAUAUUAUUAACGCGCCGGUUCUGAGAGGACAAAAGCAGCUAUGUUACUAUGACUGAUUAUGAGUGGGUUUUCUUAUCUGGCCGAGAGGUUGGCUUCAUGUCUUACAUCCUCAAGAAGAGCCACAAACACUGAGGGACAUGCUAUCAGACACCAAGUUUGGUCAGUCUCAGGUCCACCUCUACCAAGUCACCCUUCCACAUUCAGUAUGGUUCCUAUAUAAGCAGCACUUUGAUGGGAAUUAAUAAAUGUGAGAUAAAUCCAUAUUUCCAGUCAUUUUUCAUGUACUGACAGCAAUGAUGAAUUGCCUGUAAACUCUAUGAAGGGGAUGGACAUUUCUGAUAACCUGUUCAGUAAAUAAAUCAUCAUAUCAUACAAAACUGAGUGGUCAAUGAGGAUAUAUACAAUGAUCUCAUAUGAACCUAUAAUAAACAAUUGAUGUUUACAUACUGCUUUAUUAAUAUCUUUUUUAGUUGAAGAUGCACUACAUGAAACAAUGCAAAACUUAAAAUGUGAUUAUUAGUACAUUUGAAAACUAAACACCUGAGGUCUAUUGUUCCAGUGUUAUAGAAGCACAUUCAAUAUGAAAACCAAUCUGUCAUGUACUCAGAUACAUUUAGAAAGAAAAUGACCAAUUUAACAUCUGUACACUACAAAAA